rnacentral:rRNA from 1 species
CCUGAGCGUCAGUCUUUGUCCAGGGGGCCGCCUUCGCCACCGGUAUUCCUCCAGAUCUCUACGCAUUUCACCGCUACACCUGGAAUUCUACCCCCCUCUACAAGACUCAAGCUUGCCAGUUUCAAAUGCAGUUCCCAGGUUGAGCCCGGGGAUUUCACAUCUGACUUAACAAACCGCCUGCGUGCGCUUUACGCCCAGUAAUUCCGAUUAACGCUUGCACCCUCCGUAUUACCGCGGCUGCUGGCACGGAGUUAGCCGGUGCUUCUUCUGCGAGUAACGUCAAUCGCUAAGGUUAUUAACCUUAACGCCUUCCUCCUCGCUGAAAGUACUUUACAACCCGAAGGCCUUCUUCAUACACGCGGCAUGGCUGCAUCAGGCUUGCGCCCAUUGUGCAAUAUUCCCCACUGCUGCCUCCCGUAGGAGUCUGGACCGUGUCUCAGUUCCAGUGUGGCUGGUCAUCCUCUCAGACCAGCUAGGGAUCGUCGCCUAGGUGAGCCAUUACCCCACCUACUAGCUAAUCCCAUCUGGGCACAUCUGAUGGCAUGAGGCCCGAAGGUCCCCCACUUUGGUCUUGCGACGUUAUGCGGUAUUAGCUACCGUUUCCAGUAGUUAUCCCCCUCCAUCAGGCAGUUUCCCAGACAUUACUCACCCGUCCGCCGCUCGUCACCCGAGAGCAAGCUCUCUGUGCUACCGCUCGACUUGCAUGUGUUAGGCCUGCCGCCAGCGUUCAAU